rnacentral:rRNA from 1 species
UACAGGGGGUGCAAACGUUGCUCGGAAUCAUUGGGCGUAAAGCGCACGUAGGCGGUUCGUUAUGUCGGAUGUGAAAGCCCUUGGCUUAACCGAGGAAGUGCAUCCGAAACUGGCGAGCUAGAGUACUAAAGAGGAUCGCGGAAUUCCCGGUGUAGAGGUGAAAUUCGUAGAUAUCGGGAGGAACACCGGUGGCGAAGGCAGUGGGCUGGGCCGGCACUGACGCUGAGGAGCGAAAGCGUGGGGAGCGAACAGG